rnacentral:rRNA from 1 species
GACGAACGCUGGCGGCGUGCUUAACACAUGCAAGUCGAACGGAAAGGCCCUGCUUUUGUGGGGUGCUCGAGUGGCGAACGGGUGAGUAACACGUGAGUAACCUGCCCUUGACUUUGGGAUAACUUCAGGAAACUGGGGCUAAUACCGGAUAGGAGCUCCUGCUGCAUGGUGGGGGUUGGAAAGUUUCGGCGGUUGGGGAUGGACUCGCGGCUUAUCAGCUUGUUGGUGGGGUAGUGGCUUACCAAGGCUUUGACGGGUAGCCGGCCUGAGAGGGUGACCGGCCACAUUGGGACUGAGGUACGGCCCAGACUCCUACGGGAGGCAGCAGUGGGGAAUAUUGCACAAUGGGCGGAAGCCUGAGGCAGCAACGCCGCGGGCGGGAUGACGGCCUUCGGGUUGUAAACCGCUUUCGCCUGUGACGAAGCGUGAGUGACGGUAAUGGGUAAAGAAGCACCGGCUAACUACGUG